GAGGAGAAAAGAAGGGGAGACUGGGUCACUGUAGAUAGAGAACAGGGAAAAGGCCCAGAGGUAUGAAAGAAAGAGACACGGGUCAAUCAAAAACAGACAGCAGAUUACAGAUCCUUUCAGAGAUGGAAAGGCGGGAAAGAAAACGCUACAGGGACAAACUGGGGAAUCUCUGACCUUGUGCACAGGAUGAGACUCAGGACUCCUGGAUUCUAUUUCACGUUCUGCAACUGGCUCGCUGACUUCGGGCAUGAUAUGUGAAGUUGAAGUGCUGCCUACUUCACCAGAGAACCUCAGUCAUUAUGAGAAAAAUGAAGAGAACAACACUGACCCAGUCUCCCUGAGACUACAGUGGACACUACAUUAAUAAAGAUGCUGACCUGCAGCUCACAUUAAAUCUAUGGACUUUCGUGGCAUGGUGCUUUUCAGAAGAAUGAGAUGGAGCAGUUUUACAGCACAAGCACCAUAUUAAGGCUCAGAAGAUCCGAGUUGAGCUCGAUCCCAUACUUCCUGAGUGUACUUUCAAGUAAAAUACUUUCUCUAUCUGUACAAUGGAAAUAACAGUUUGU